rnacentral:SRP_RNA from 1 species
GCUGGGUGCGGUGGCGUACACCUGUAAUCCCAGUACUUUGGGAGGCUGAGGCAGGAGAAUUGCUUGAGCCCAGGAGUUGGAGACCAGCCUGGGCAACAUAGCGAGACCCUGUCUGUA